rnacentral:rRNA from 1 species
GAUGAACGCUAGCGGCAGGCCUAAUACAUGCAAGUCGAACGGUGUCUUCGGACAUAGUGGCGCACGGGUGCGUAACACGUAUGCAACCUACCUAACAUUGGGGGAUAGCCUUUCGAAAGGGAGAUUAAUACCGCAUAAGACAGUAGCUGGGCAUCCAGCAGCUGUUAAAGAUUUAUCGAUGUAUGCUGGGCAUGCGUCCAAGUAGCUAGGUGGUGAGGUAACGGCUCACCAAGGCAAGGAUUGGUAGGGGAACUGGGAGGUCAAUCCCCCACACUGGCACUGAGAUGCGGGCCAGACUCCUACGGGAGGCAGCAGUAGGGAAUAUUGGGCAAUGGACGCAAGUCUGACCCAGCCAGGCCGCGUGCAGGAUGAAGGCGUUAUGCGUUGUAAACUGCUUUUAUACAGGAAGAAACGACUCUUGCGAGAGGCAUUGACGGUACUGUAUGAAUAAGCACCGGCUAACUCCGUGCCAGCCGCCGCGGUAACAC